AAUGGGGGCAACCCUGACCGAGCAACGCCGCGUGAGUAAAGAAGGUUUUCGGAUCGUAAAGCUCUGUUGUAAGUCAAGAACGGGUGUGAGAGUGGAAAGUUCACACUGUGACGGUAGCUUACCAGAAAGGGACGGCUAACUACGUGCCACAGCCGCGGUAAUACGUAGGUCCCGAGCGUUGUCCGGAUUUAUUGGGCGUA
rnacentral:rRNA from 1 species